rnacentral:lncRNA from 1 species
GUAAAUUCGUUGGCAAUAUGUCUACGCUGGUUCAAAUCCAGCUCGGCCCAAUAAUUCGCCAAUCCGCCAUGAGAUGAUAUAACUCCCUUUGUACUUCAGAAAUACCCGAUCCGGAGAUAAAAAAGAAUCAAAUUUUCUGCUAGAUCCCGUAUUUCCCUGGGAUUGUAGUUCAAUUGGUCAGAGCACCGCCCUGUCAAGGCGGAAGCUGCGGGUUCGAGCCCCGUCAGUCCCGACGGAUCCAAUAAAUAUAUCAAAAAAUCUCUCCCUUUUUCUGAAGGGGACCGGGGGAAGAAUUCCAUUGUCAAAGCAAAGGGGAAAUCCUUAUUUCUUUUUUCUUUCCUUUUGGUAGGAGAAAGACAUAUGCGGUUGGAUUAGUACAAUUAUUGGUAGCAUUAUAGUCAGUAUUCCAAGAAAUGCUGGCUUUUUCGAUUGCCCCCGAUGCAUGUAAUGGAAUCGAGUACUAUACUUUUUUGAGGCGCGCAUACACAAAAGGAAUUCCUUUGUUGUCCAAUACAAAAUUGAAUAUAAGAAAAUACUUUCCAGAAAAAACAAAAAAAAAAAAAAAACAAUUUCUUUUUCUGGCUACGGAUUUAUGGAACCUGACUUACUAGUUUGAAGUUGCAAAAUAGAUUUCAUGCAAAUUGCACACUGAGCUUUUGGUAUAGGUGUCCCGGGGCUAAUAAUCGACGAAGAAAGGAGGGGGAAGGACAGAUCAACCAAAGAUCCUACUCCUCUUAGAAAGGCGAAUGAAUCAUUUUUCCUAUUUUUCAUUUUGUUUUAAGGCCCCAUCGACGAACGAACAAAUCGGAAAAUAGUCAAUUUGAUGAAUAUUCAUUUUAUACGGUCUCAUCUUUAUCACACUUCUUUGUCUUCCAAGUCAAAAAUAGUUUCGUUCUAAACUCCUUUCUUUUUCCAUUUAGCUUUUAUUGUUUGUUUGGGUUUGUAACUAUGUGACCACUGGAAGUGGAAGAGCUAUUUGAUGAGACUUCAUCAGAUGAUUGUACAAGAAGGAACUAGAUAGAUUAGAGAGAAAAAAAGAACAGAUAAUAAAAAAUGAUAAAUAAAUAAAGGAAUUUUGGGUUAGGUCAGCAAUCCGAGUUUGGGGCGGUAUGGAUAAAAGAACUUCCUAUGUUAUACUAUUCAAUUCUCGACGACGAAUUUAUUUGAUAGUUCAGAUAUUGUUAUUCAUGAUAUUGAUCUGAUUCAAGAUCAUCGAGAGGUAAUAUUCAUUCAUUGAAUUUACAGGCCAAAGAUUUAUCAUCUCUAUGGGAUUAAAUCCCGAGUUAUUGCGAAGUAAAAAACCGAUGAGAUUAUGGAAGUAAAUAUUCUUGCAUUUAUUGCUACUGCACUAUUUAUUCUAGUUCCUACCGCUUUUCUACUUAUCAUUUAUGUAAAAACAGUCAGUCAAAACGAUUAAUUAUUAACUAAUUUGAAUGAAACUUGACUUCUGAGUUCUUAGCCAAAAUUGACGAAAUAAAAUGAAAAAGAUUCCAAUUUCAUGUCUUAAAUGAAAUGAGUGGACUAGAAUCGGCAGUAUUCUAAUAGAUAGAUAGUAUGGUAGAAAGAUUCAUCUAUUUCUUUCUACCAUACUAUUUAUUAGUUAGAUUCUUGUUAUAAAGCUGCCCCCUGGAAUAAAAUAAAGAUAGAGGCUGCAUUUGAUAUGGAUCUAUAUAUCAAUCUACAAUAUUAUCUUGAUAUAUGUGAAUAUCAAUUCCAUAUAUGGGAUUGACAUAGCAUCCAAUUCCAUUUAUUUGCUAUAUCUAUUUGUUCUGAUCAAUCUGAAUUACUCCUAUGUCUUAUAGUUUGAAUUACUAUAUUUUUGAUUUCCAAUAUGAAUCUCAGUAUCUAUUGAGAGAAUCAAAUCAAUGAAGCAAAAGCGAUAGAUAUAGGCAUAUUCAAAAAAUCACGUAGUAAUCUUUUUUUUUUUAACAUUCCUAAGAAGUAAACCAUUGACAGUAGUUCCACGGGCAUCGAAAAGGAAGAGUAAACCUCACUGAUUUUUAAGGCCUGAACCAUGAUAUGAAAUAAGUCGAUAAAGUCUAAAUCCAAUUUCCAAAAUUCGAAAGGUAAAUGCGCAAUAUGUGACUCACCUGACGAUCUUAUUCUAAAUAGUAUCUCGUUAGACAACCACUAUGUUUAUAUCCUUUCUUUCUCAUACAAAGUGCGUAUACACUUAACAAAACCACUUUUUCUUUGAACAGUAAAGAGAGAACCAAAUAAAAAACGGGUCCGGCCCUCCUCAGUAUCACCUAGGAAGAGGCCAUUGAUUGGAAUAGAAAAUUUAGUAAGAAUUAGGUUCGAAUAAAUUUCCUGGGAUCCUUUUCCUUUCGAACUACAAACAUGGGAAUCGUUGAAAUAGCUCUUUGAUUGAAAGAGGCUGAUUCCUAUAAUACAUUACUCCAGUCGAGUCCAAUGGAAUUUCAAAAUGAAGAUAUUUUUAUUUUGUUCCAAACGUGUUGCAGAACCAUCUAGAAAGCAAUUGAUAAUGAUACAGUUUGCU